GAUGAACGCUAGCUACAGGCUUAACACAUGCAAGUCGAGGGGCAGCACAGUGUAGCAAUACACGGGUGGCGACCGGCGCACGGGUGCGUAACGCGUAUCCAACCUUCCCGUUACUCUUGGAUAGCCUUCCGAAAGGGAGAUUAAUACAAGAUGGUAUUCAAAUUCCGCAUGUUAUUUGAAUUAAAGAUUUAUCGGUAACGGAUGGGGAUGCGUGACAUUAGAUAGUAGGCGGGGUAACGGCCCACCUAGCCUUCGAUCAUUAGGGGUUCUGAGAGGAAGGUCCCCCACACUGGAACUGAGACACGGUCCAGACUCCUACGGGAGGCAGCAGUGAGGAAUAUUGGUCAAUGGGCGAGAGCCUGAACCAGCCAAGUAGCGUGAAGGAAGACUGCCCUAUGGGUUGUAAACUUCUUUGUUCGGGAAUAAAGUGCAGUACGCGUACUGUUUGUAUGUACCGUUCGAAUAAGCAUCGGCUAAUUCCGUG
rnacentral:rRNA from 1 species